UACGUAGGGGGCAAGCGUUGUCCGGAUUUAUUGGGCGUAAAGAGCGUGUAGGCGGCCUGAAAGGUCAGCUGUGAAAACUCGAGGCUCAACCUCGAGACGUCGGUUGAAACCAUCUGGCUAGAGUCCGGAAGAGGAGAGUGGAAUUCCCGGUGUAGCGGUGAAAUGCGCAGAUAUCAGGAAGAACACCGGUGGCGAAGGCGGUCUGCUGGGCAGUUGCUGACACUGAGGCGCGACAGCGUGGGGAGCAAACAGG
rnacentral:rRNA from 1 species